rnacentral:rRNA from 1 species
UGCUUUUUGAAUAUUAUAAAAAGUAAUCUCCUGCCCAGUGAUAAUAUUCAACGGCCGCGGUAUCCUAACCGUGCAAAGGUAGCAUAAUAACUUGCCCAUUAAUUGUGGGCUAGAAUGAAUGGGGUAACGAAAUAAGUGCUGUCUCAACAAAUUACAUAAAAACUAUUAUCCAAGUGAAGAAACUUAGAUUUAAAUAGAGGACAAGAAGACCCUAUAGAGCUUUAUUCUUCUUAUAUAAGUUAUAAAAGAAAAAUUCGGUUGGGGCGACCCAGGAUAAAUCAUCCUAAAUUUUAAUGAUAAACACAUCUAUUAAUAGAUCCUUUUAAAGAUCAACGGAUCAAGCUACCUUAGGGAUAACAGGCUAAUCCUACUUUAGAGCUCCUAUCAACAGUAGGGAUUGGCACCUCGAUGUUGGCUUAGAAUAUCUAUAUGGCGCAGAAGUCAUAAAAAGAAGGUUUGUUCAACCUAUAAUAUUC